rnacentral:piRNA from 1 species
UAGCUGUUGAGUCCCGUUCAGAAGUGA